ACACUUCAAUGUUGAAAAACAAAUGGAAACAGUCCAAUUCAUUCCUUCCUCUCUCUCCUUAAUUUAAAGUUCCAGCUAAACAUUGACCUUUCUCACACAUGAAAAGAAAAAGUUAACAGUGAGGGAAAUCCCUCAGGUGUGAUGAUUUUGGCCAAGUGAACCUGUCCCAAUAGCUUCAGGGUCAUCCUGCUAGAGUUAUAAAGAACCAUCCUGCUCCCUGGGAACACAGUCUUCUUGGGCAUAAAAUUUCUCCAGCAUGCGUGUGCUUCAGCUUCUCUUCAAGACCAGCCCUGCUGCCCUUCUCCUGGGCCUCUGCCUAACACUGUGGACUGUCCCAACUCAAGGACAAAUACAGAAUGUAAUUUCAGCGAACCUGACAACUUCUCAAAUUGACAACUCAACGGGCUAUGUGAUAACACUUGCAGUUUCAAAUCUCAUAUCUCAAUGCAUAGUGGUUAAAAACACAUUGGAGGUCUCUGACACAGUCAUUUUUCCUUAUGGUAAUUUUCGUUUUACCAGCUGUCUGUGUGGUGUUAGUACAAGAAGAUUCUUCUGGGAGAUAGAAGCACCUGAAAAUGGGAUCAUAACAGGGAAGGCUCAAGUUGUGUCAGAGGAGAAUAUAUGCCCUCCUGGUGUGAAUAUCUCCACCCCUGUUUAUGAAGUUGUUAUCACACGUGAUGUCAUUAUAACACUCUGAUCUGGAAAAUCUGCCAUUUCUGAGUUGGUGGGCAUCUGUGUAGACUGGAAAAUAAACUUCCUACUGACUUCUCACUGUCUUAUCUGUGUUCUUUCCCCAAAACUCAGUACUGUGUCUACUCAGACAUCCCCCAGUCCUAAGGAACCAAUAUUUUUA
rnacentral:lncRNA from 1 species